AACUUUUGGCAAUGGAUCUCUUGGCUCUCGCAUCGAUGAAGAACGCAGCGAAAUGCGAUACGUAAUGUAAAUUGCAGAAUUUAGUGAAUCAUCGAAUCUUUGAACGCACCUUGCGCCCUUUGGCAUUCCGAGGGGCACACCCGUUUGAGUGUCCUGACAUCCUCAAAACCUUCUUGGUUUCUUGACCGGGAAGGCUUUGGACUUUGGAGGUUUUUGCUGGCCUUCCUUUGUUGGAGCCAGCUCCUCUGAAAUGAAUUACUGGGGUCCGCUUUGCCGAUCCUUCACGUGAUAAGAUGUUUUCUACGUCUUGGGUUUCGCACUGUUCGCUCUGGAUCCUGCUUCUAACUGUCUCAUAGAAGACAAUGGUCAAGUGAUUGCCACUUGACCCAAUCACCUUGACCUCAAAUCGGGUGAGACUACCCGCUGAACUUAAGCAUAUCAAUAAGCGGAGGCU
rnacentral:misc_RNA from 1 species